GAUGAACGCUGGCGGCGUGCUUAAUACAUGCAAGUCGAACGGAGACUGUAGCAAUACUGUCUUAGUGGCGAACGGGUGAGUAACGCGUUGGUGACCUGCCCCGAAGAGGGGGAUAACAGUCCGAAAGGAUUGCUAAUACCCCAUGUGGUCGUUUGGAUUAGAUGCCUUACGACUAAACGGAUUUAUUCGCUUCGGGAGGGGCCUGCGUCCCAUCAGCUAGUUGGUAGGGUAAUAGCCUACCAAGGCGAUGACGGGUAGGGGACCUGAGAGGGUGGCCCCCCACAAUGGAACUGAAACACGGUCCAUACACCUACGGGUGGCAGCAGUAGGGAAUAUUGGUAAUCUGGGAAACCGGGAACCAGCAACGCCGCGUGCGCGAUGAAGGCCUUCGGUUGUAAGCGCUUUUAAAGGGUAUGAGGAAGGACAGUACCUUAGAAUAAGACCUCGGCUAACUACGUG
rnacentral:rRNA from 1 species